rnacentral:rRNA from 1 species
GCUAAUACAUGCAAGUCGAGCGGACAGAUGGGAGCUUGCUCCCUGAUGUUAGCGGCGGACGGGUGAGUAACACGUGGGUAACCUGCCUGUAAGACUGGGAUAACUCCGGGAAACCGGGGCUAAUACCGGAUGGUUGUUUGAACCGCAUGGUUCAAACAUAAAAGGUGGCUUCGGCUACCACUUACAGAUGGACCCGCGGCGCAUUAGCUAGUUGGUGAGGUAACGGCUCACCAAGGCAACGAUGCGUAGCCGACCUGAGAGGGUGAUCGGCCACACUGGGACUGAGACACGGCCCAGACUCCUACGGGAGGCAGCAGUAGGGAAUCUUCCGCAAUGGACGAAAGUCUGACGGAGCAACGCCGCGUGAGUGAUGAAGGUUUUCGGAUCGUAAAGCUCUGUUGUUAGGGAAGAACAAGUACCGUUCGAAUAGGGCGGUACCUUGACGGUACCUAACCAGAAAGCCACGGCUAACUACGUGCCAGCAGCCGCGGUAAUACGUAGGUGGCAAGCGUUGUCCGGAAUUAUUGGGCGUAAAGGGCUCGCAGGCGGUUUCUUAAGUCUGAUGUGAAAGCCCCCGGCUCAACCGGGGAGGGUCAUUGGAAACUGGGGAACUUGAGUGCAGAAGAGGAGAGUGGAAUUCCACGUGUAGCGGUGAAAUGCGUAGAGAUGUGGAGGAACACCAGUGGCGAAGGCGACUCUCUGGUCUGUAACUGACGCUGAGGAGCGAAAGC